rnacentral:rRNA from 1 species
UACGAAGGGGGCUAGCGUUGUUCGGAAUUACUGGGCGUAAAGCGCACGUAGGCGGGUUAUUAAGUCAGGGGUGAAAUCCCGGAGCUCAACUCCGGAACUGCCUUUGAUACUGGUAAUCUAGAGAUCGGAAGAGGUGAGUGGAAUUCCCAGUGUAGAGGUGAAAUUCGUAGAUAUUGGGAAGAACACCAGUGGCGAAGGCGGCUCACUGGUCCGAUACUGACGCUGAGGUGCGAAAAGCGUGGGGAGCAAACAGG